rnacentral:lncRNA from 1 species
CUCGAUUACGUAAUCUGUGCAAUUCAUUCAAAUAAGUGUUGCGAACGGUAGUUUAGACAUGUACGCCUACGCUUGCUUAAAAUGCGCGUGAAGUUGUGACACAUAUUUCGAUGAGAAAAGUUUAUUGUAUUAUAAACAGUUUCAAAAGUAAUGCAAUACAUAGUCCACAGUGUAUUACAAAUAGACUGAAUUAAUUGAACAUGGUUGGUUUUCAAAGUAGUAGCAUUAAUUAAUUGAACAUGGUUGGUUUACAAAGUAGUAGCAUAGAGUCCGCAUUUGGAGCCAUUACGCAUCACAUGAAAAUCUUGCUGACGUCCAUUGGCUACACAGUUCUAUACAUUGUAUAGUUUAACAAUGCUCGCUAUUGAAACGUGUGUUUUCAGAAUUUCAGAAUGACCUCGUGCAAAGAGAACAAUAACUAUUCACUUGUUCCAAUAGCCUAAACAAUAAUAAUUCCAGAUUAGUGUCACAUAUAUUUUCUAACAGGUCCAUAUGCUACAGGUUUCAAAGAUCACAGAGGAAUAAUAGCCUACAUAGUAGCCCAACAAUUAAUGCUGUCACACACCAAAACUUUAAUUCCAGACCCUCUUUUACUGCAUCAAUGGAGUGGAAAACAAUAGGUAAAAACGUAUAAGUUCGCAUGAGACCAUACAAAAAUAAUAUUACAUAUACGAAAAACAUUUCCUCAAAGUAUUUACAGUGACUUUUAUUAUAAUAAGUCUCUCUGAAAUGUCCAUUUACUUCUUCUUUGCGGCUUUCUUGGCUGCGGCCUUGGGUUUGGGUUUCGCAGCUUUGGCCUUCUUGGGUUUCGUUGCCUUGGCUGGCUUGGCCACCUUGGUUUUCUUUGCUACUUUCUUGGGCUUUGGUGCCUUUUUGGUGUCCUCUGCUUUAGCCAGUUUGAAGGAGCCUGACGCGCCGAUGCCUUUGGUGUGGCGCAGGACCCCUUCACUCACCAUCCUCUUCAGGGACAGCUUAAUCUGAGAAUCGGCAUUGUCCCCCACCUUGUAGUGGCUUUUGAUGUACUUCUGGACAGAUUGUCUGGACGCACCUCCACGGCUUUUGUCUGCAUGGACGGCUGCCUUAAUCAUAUCCGAGUAUUUCGGGUGUGAAGCAGGUUUCUUGGGUGCCUUCGCCUUUUUUGCCUUUGGGGCUGGAGCUGCCGCCGUCUCUGCCAUAGUUGACUCGUGAGAGUUGUUGAAUUCUGUGAGAAUAUGUGGGUUCAGUCCAAGUAUUCCCGUCUGUCACAAAACGUCAAAAGCGGCUAAAUAAAUACUUCCUAACUUGUAAUAGUCCUGGAAAGGUCCGGGUUUGCUAUAACGCAGAGCUUUAUAAUACAAAAAGUUGAUGUAAAUUUGCCACACACGAUGGCGCGUCACAGCUGAUUUUCUAUUAAGGCAUCUUAUUCUACAAACGUUCCUCUGACUUUAUGAAGC